rfam:Triticum aestivum genome assembly, contig: Triticum_aestivum_CS42_TGACv1_scaffold_378092_5AL
CCACUACUCCAUCCGUUUUGAAUUACUUGUCUUAGAUUUAUCUAGAUACGGAUGUAUCUAGCACUAAAUUACUUGUCUUAGACAAAUUCAAGACAAGUAAUUCGAAACGGAGGGAGUACUAG